AAUAAUUCAUUAAAUGCAACUGUUAUGAUUCAUUUAGAAUUCACUCCAAUUCUGAAAUGAUAAAUGACAGUGCAUUUAUGUAUAAAUGACAGUGUAUUCAUCUCCCCAAAGCUGGUCACAAGUGCCCUCACUGCUCUGGAGUAAAACAUGGGCUAGAAACAAGGAAGCAAAGACUUAAAAACAGCAUCAUGUUUAUUCACUGGAGAAAAAGACAAACAGUUCAACUGCCUGCUUCACUUUGCCUUCAAGUUUAUCAAGAUGAGGCCGAGAAUUCUCAUAAACUCCUCAAGGACACCAAAAGGAGUUCCUGUAGACUCACUCAGAGUCCUUUCCCUCCUCUCCCUCAAGCAGUGCCCACCUCUUUUCAGGAAGCAUCUUCUCUUUUCCAUUUGACUUUCAUAAAGAAGCUGGAGUUUUAUUUUUCCUUGGCCUCCAAUCUGUGCUUUGGGCUGUGCCAUAAAAUUCCUCAGUAAUUUAUGACCUGUUUUUCCUUUAAAGUGGAGAAGCACUAAUCCCUCACAGAGUGGGGAGACAAGCAUUUCCAAAGUGAGGUAAUCUAGAAAUAUAUGCACUGACCACAGUGAGUUGGGCCCUGACUUACAAUUGAAGGCUCAUGUAAAGAUCCCUAGCCCUUGACACAGAGUAUGAUCUCAGAAAUAGCCUGGUCUCCAGUUAGUACCUGGUUUGACAGAGUCCUCUUGACCCAAAAGUCCAUCUUUUCCUGUCACUGAUAUCUGAAAAUUCCAGACAUUGCCAUGUCACCCUCCAGAUAAAGGAAGGCCUCCUCCACAGCACUCUUCUAAAGCACCAGUCUUAUAUAUCUCAUUACGGCCAUCUACCUCAGUGUAAAUGAGUUUAUACUCAGCCAAGAGGAAGUGAGGAAUCCUGGCUGGGCCCCAGGCUUGGAGGGGCUCAGAAGUGGAAGGAGCGUGCACAAAACCUGAAAUCAGUCUUUGACUCCUUCACAUUUUCGCCGCAAGUCAACCCCAAUGAUCACGCUUACAUCUUUGCAAGUAGCUUUUAAAAAAUAUUUUCCAAUAAACACAAGGAAAUGAAAUAUUGAGAUACACCUUCAAAAGAGAGUUGAUGAGCAGCAAACAUUCUGGGUCCAAUCAAGCAACAAUUGAUUUGUGAACAGAAGGAGCAAGAGUUCAAUUGCACUUGGAUAAUAUUCACCCUGACCUGAUUCAGGAAAGAGGAGGAAGAGUGGGUCUCUGUCCUCAGCCAAUGUAAUUCCAUAGGAACGAUCCCUGGAACCAUGAUAUUGGCUUUGCUACUGCUUUAUAAAUGUCACUCACUAAAGACAGAACAAGGAUGAACUCCUAGAAUAUUAUUCAGAAAAUCUGGCUAAUAGGGGCCUUGUUUGCACUUCUAUUUUCAUAUACUCUACAAACACUUGUUCAACCUAAGCUUUUCUCUCUUCUGUAGUCAAGUGUCUAUAAACAACACUUGGGAUCCUAGUUUAAAAAACAAAGUUUUAGUCUUUAUGAUAAAAAUAUUAACAUAAAUGGAUAAUGAUUAUUUCCUCCUCACCAUGUUAGUUUCUCUUGGCCAGCAGCCCUAAAUAUGUCGUAUUAACUUUAAAUAGUAGGGUCCAGAUUCUAAGACAGUGUUUCCCAAAUGACAUCAAGAGAUGUAAGUACUGUCCCUAAAUGUGUGUUGAACAAUCAAAUACAGUUGGAAACACUGCUCGCUCAAUUGCCAUCCAGAAAACUGAUGGAAAAUAGCCUAUCGAAGGCUGUAAAAAAAAGUCCUGCAAUAAAUGUUUAGCUUCAUUUA